rnacentral:rRNA from 1 species
AGCGAACGCUGGCGGCAGGCCUAACACAUGCAAGUCGAACGAAGUCUUCGGACUUAGUGGCGGACGGGUGAGUAACACGUGGGAACGUGCCUUUAGGUUCGGAAUAACUCAGGGAAACUUGUGCUAAUGCCGAAUGUGCCCUUCGGGGGAAAGAUUUAUCGCCUUUAGAGCGGCCCGCGUCUGAUUAGCUAGUUGGUGGGGUAAUGGCCCACCAAGGCUACGAUCAGUAGCUGGUCUGAGAGGAUGACCAGCCACAUUGGGACUGGGACACGGGCCAAACUCCUACGGGAGGCAGCAGUGGGGAAUCUUGCGCAAUGGGCGAAAGCCUGACGCAGCCAUGCCGCGUGAAUGAUGAAGGUCUUAGGAUUGUAAAAUCCUUUCACCGGUGAAGAUAAUGACUGUAGCCGGAGAAGAAGCCCCGGCUAACUUCGUGCCAGCCGCCGCGGUAACAC